GUUAUAAUAGAAUGGAACAAUUGUAAAACAAAACAUUGCAACAAAGAAAAAAAUGAAAAGUCUGCAUACCCUUAGUUGUUAAUACUGUGUAUUGUCCCCUUUAGCAUCAAUGACAGUGUGCAGUGUUUUGUGAUAGUUAUCUAUGAGGCCCCUAAUUCUUGCAGGUGGUAUAGCUGCCCAUUCGUCUUGGCCAAAUGCCUCCAAAUCAUGCAAAGUCUGUGGACGUCUUGCAUGAACCGCACAUUUGAGAUCUCCCCAGAGUAGCUUGAUGAUAUUAAGGUCAGGAGACUUUGAUGGCCACUCCAGAACCUUUACCUUUUUUUGCUGUAAGGGUCAACUUGGCCUUUUGCUUAGGGUCAAUGUCAUACUGGAUAGUCCAAGAGCAAACUAUGCACAGCCUUCGUGCUGAAGAAUGCAAAUCAUCUGUCUGUAUUUUCUGAUAACAUGCUGCAUUCAUCUUGCC